GAUGAACGCUGGCGGCGUGCUUAACACAUGCAAGUCGAACGAUGAAGCCCAGCUUGCUGGGUGGAUUAGUGGCGAACGGGUGAGUAACACGUGAGUAACCUGCCCUUAACUCUGGGAUAAGCCUGGGAAACUGGGUCUAAUACCGGAUAAGAGCGUCCACCGCAUGGUGGGUGUUGGAAAGAUUUAUCGGUUUUGGAUGGACUCGCGGCCUAUCAGCUUGUUGGUGAGGUAAUGGCUCACCAAGGCGACGACGGGUAGCCGGCCUGAGAGGGUGACCGGCCACACUGGGACUGAGACACGGCCCAGACUCCUACGGGAGGCAGCAGUGGGGAAUAUUGCACAAUGGGCGCAAGCCUGAUGCAGCGACGCCGCGUGAGGGAUGACGGCCUUCGGGUUGUAAACCUCUUUCAGUAGGGAAGAAGCGAAAGUGACGGUACCUGCAGAAGAAGCACCGGCUAACUACGUG
rnacentral:rRNA from 1 species